GCGUGUGGCUCAGUGGUAGAGCGCUACCUUGGUAAGGUAGAGGUCCCGAGUUCAAUUCUCGGAUGUUGCU
rnacentral:tRNA from 1 species